rnacentral:rRNA from 1 species
GAUGAACGCUGGCGGCGUGCCUAAUACAUGCAAGUCGAGCGAACGGACGAGAAGCUUGCUUCUCUGAUGUUAGCGGCGGACGGGUGAGUAACACGUGGAUAACCUACCUAUAAGACUGGGAUAACUUCGGGAAACCGGAGCUAAUACCGGAUAAUAUUUUGAACCGCAUGGUUCAAAAGUGAAAGACGGUCUUGCUGUCACUUAUAGAUGGAUCCGCGCUGCAUUAGCUAGUUGGUAAGGUAACGGCUUACCAAGGCAACGAUGCAUAGCCGACCUGAGAGGGUGAUCGGCCACACUGGAACUGAGACACGGUCCAGACUCCUACGGGAGGCAGCAGUAGGGAAUCUUCCGCAAUGGGCGAAAGCCUGACGGAGCAACGCCGUGUGAGUGAUGAAGGUCUUCGGAUCGUAAACCUCUGUUAUUAGGGAAGAACAUAUGUGUAAGUAACUGUGCACAUCUUGACGGUACCUAAUCAGAAAGCCACGGCUAACUACGUG